GAAAUGCGAUAAUUAAUGUGAAUUGCAGAAUUCAGUGAAUCAUCGAGUCUUUGAACGUACAUUGCGCCCCCUGGUAUUCCGGGGGGCAUGCCUGUCCGAGCGUCAUUGCUGCCCUCAAGCACGGCUUGUGUGUUGGGCUUCCGUCCCUGGCAACGGGGACGGGCCCAAAAGGCAGUGGCGGCACCAUGUCUGGUCCUCGAGCGUAUGGGGCUUUGUCACCCGCUCCCGUAGGUCCAGCUGGCAGCUAGCCUCGCAACCAAUCUUUUUAACCAGGUUGACCUCGGAUCAGGUAGGGAUACCCGCUGAACUUAAGC
rnacentral:misc_RNA from 1 species